rnacentral:rRNA from 1 species
UACGAAGGUCCCAAGCGUUAUCCGGAUUUAUUGGGUUUAAAGGGUGCGUAGGCGGACUAUUAAGUCAGUGGUGAAAGCCCCAGCUUAACUUGGGAACUGCCAUUGAUACUGAUGGUCUUGAGUACAUUUGAGGUGGGCGGAAUGUGUCAUGUAGCGGUGAAAUGCUUAGAUAUGACACAGAACACCGAUUGCGAAGGCAGCUCACUAAACUGUAAACUGGAACGCUGAGGCAACGAAAGCGUGGGGAGCAAACAGG